rnacentral:lncRNA from 1 species
AAUAGAUAUACCAAAAUAUUCAAAUGUAUUAAUGUACCUAAAUGAAGAACAUACAAAAUUGUUAUUGGAAUAUAUAUUAUAAAAAAUUUAGUUGCCUAAAUGUAGACAUUAAAAUAUAUUAUGAUGAAUGAAAUAAAAAUUAAAUUUAAAUGUAAUUAAUACAUUAAAAUAAAAAUAAAAAGAUAAAAUAAAACAUCAAAAUACAACUAAUAAAUGAUAUGAUUAAAUGUGCUAGGGACUAAAAUUGGAUUUUAACCUUACAUAUGGUUAUAAUCUAAAACUCAUCUUUUUUAGGGAUUAAAAUGAAGUUUUAUAUUUUAUAAACCAUAUGAUGAGGUUGUUGAUGAUUGGAUUAUUAUUUUUUACUUUUUUUUAACAAAUGAUAUUUUCUAUAUGAAGGGGUCGGGGAGUGGACUAAGCCUCACAAUGGACUACCAAUAAUGUGGUUCAAAUUUGCAUUUUGGCGAUAAUCGAACCUAAGACCUCUCACUUGCAAGUGAAGAGGAAUACUACUAGAUCGUAGUACUAAGUGAUAUGAUUAGAUUAUUUCUUAAAUGUUAAUUAACGUGUUUAUUUUUUUAUUAGUGACACAUAUUUGUAAUUUAAAUUACUUUACCUAACAUUACUCGAUUUUUAUAUGUGAUAGUGUUUUUGUUUUCUUUCUUUUUCCUUUUAUGUAUGAACUUUUUUUGAGUUAAUUUUCUGUCAAGGUCAUAUUAAUAUGAAAAAUUAAUAUUAUAUUUAUGUCUCUUAUGUAGACUAUUUGCUAUCUUAUGUGGUUGGAUUUCAAUUGUUUUUUUGACGCAGUGUACCUAACAAUAUCGCACACAACCCAUUAAAUACGACAUAAAAUAAUACGAUACGAAAAAUUAAAUAUUUAGAUUGAGGUUUAAUGGGUUCAGGUUGCAACCAGUGGAGUUGUUAGUGACAUGAACUGACAAACUGAUUUAGUGUUACCCAAAUAUAUCCAUUUCAACCUGUUAAAAACACUCUUUUAAAUAACUUUUUACAGUACAUGCUUAUAGCUGGAUAUUUUAGCCUUGUUGAUUUUUUUUUUGUCAACUAAUAGAUUUGUUAGAUUAGAUGUUAGAUUAGGAAGCCAACGAGGUUCGAAUCCACAUCAUGAUGCAAGGAGAACACUCAUAUUCACCACUGUGAUUUGCCUUGUUGGUUGUUGGUAACCACUAAUUAUUUUAACAGGUCAAGUUUAAGUUUGAAUUAUAUUACUUAUUAGCUUAAUGAGUUGACACAGCCUUGUUAGUUGUUGGUAAUAACAGGUCAAGUUUAAGUUUGAAUUGUAUUACUUAUUAGCUUAAUGAGUUGACACAACACAAACCACUAAGAUAAUGAAUAAACAUGAACACAAAAUACAAAACUAGUUUCUCAAGUGGCAUGUUGAGCAAUUAUUUUUGGAUAUGAACAUGUGAUUCACUCUUUUCCUGCACAUGUAAAGUCCCACAAUGAGCCCAAUUUCAAAAUAAGUCACCUCUCAAUCCACUUGUGGGUUGGGCCCCUUGGCAUAAACCUACACCUUCCAUUUUUGUGCUUUAUUAGGUAGUGAUUCUCUCCCUGCUCCCACUUUCAAAAUACGUCACCCUUCAAUCCACUUGUGGGCUGUGGCCCUAUGGCAUAAACCUAUGCCUCCCAUUUUUUGCGUGAAAUUCGUGGCCUGGUGCUCUCCACUCUCCAUUAUAUCAGAGACUCACUCAUGUGGCCGUAACAUUUGCUGAGAAACGUGGACGCAGAGAAAACGUUUGUGAUGGAGAAUUCACAGUUGGCGACGAUGGAGGGCCAGGCCAGCCCUGAGAAUUUGGGCCCUAGGCGAGCCCUUUGAAGUGAGACUCUAAAAUUCUCUGAUUUACAGUUCUUUGUAUAUUGAUUUGUAUAAAAAAAGAAUUUGCUAAAUACAUAAAAAGUUCUAUUUUCACAUCAAAUAUCAUUAAA